rnacentral:sRNA from 1 species
AGCCUAAGUCCCCUAAAAAGGAUAUGGCACAGAAUCCUAAGUAACAAACAUGGUCUUCUGACCUGCGCUUGUUACUUAGGUCUAUACUCGAAAGGGUGUAGGGCGGUUCCGAAAGGAGCUGUC